CCUACGGGUGGCAGCAGUGGGGAAUAUUGCACAAUGGGGGAAACCCUGAUGCAGCGACGCCGCGUGAGUGAAGAAGUAUUUCGGUAUGUAAAGCUCUAUCAGCAGGGAAGAAAAUGACGGUACCUGAUUAAGAAGCCCCGGCGAACUACGUGCCAGCAGCCGCGGUCAUACGGAGGGGGCACGCGUUCUCCGGAUGUACGGGGGGUAAAGGUAGCGUAGGCGGCAGCACAAGUCUGGAGGGAAAUGCCGGGGCUUAAACCCGGAACUGCUUUGGAAACUGGGCAGCUAGAGUGCAGGAGAGGGAAGUGGAAUUCCUAGUGUAGCGGUGAAAUGCGUAGAUAUUAGGAGGAACAUCGGUGGCGUAAGCGCUUUACUGGGCCGUAAUUGACGCUGAGGAACGAAAGCCAGGGUAGCAAAUAGGAUUAGAUACCCGGGUAGUC
rnacentral:rRNA from 1 species